UACGUAGGGGGCAAGCGUUGUCCGGAAUCAUUGGGCGUAAAGAGCUCGUAGGCGGCUCAGUAAGUCGGGUGUGAAACCUCCAGGCUCAACCUGGAGACGCCACCCGAUACUGCUGUGGCUAGAGUCCAGUAGGGGAGUGUGGAAUUCCCGGUGUAGCGGUGAAAUGCGCAGAUAUCGGGAGGAACACCAGCGGCGAAGGCGGCAUCCUGGACCGGUAUUGACGCUGAGACGCGAAAGCUAGGGGAGCAAACGGG
rnacentral:rRNA from 1 species